rnacentral:rRNA from 1 species
GAUGAACGCUAGCUACAGGCUUAACACAUGCAAGUCGAGGGGCAGCAUUUUUAGUUUGCUUGCAAACUGAAGAUGGCGACCGGCGCACGGGUGAGUAACACGUAUCCAACCUGCCGAUAACUCCGGAAUAGCCUUUCGAAAGAAAGAUUAAUACCGGAUGGCAUACGAAUAUCGCAUGAUAUUUUUAUUAAAGAAUUUCGGUUAUCGAUGGGGAUGCGUUCCAUUAGUUUGUUGGCGGGGUAACGGCCCACCAAGACUACGAUGGAUAGGGGUUCUGAGAGGAAGGUCCCCCACAUUGGAACUGAGACACGGUCCAAACUCCUACGGGAGGCAGCAGUGAGGAAUAUUGGUCAAUGGGCGAGAGCCUGAACCAGCCAAGUAGCGUGAAGGAUGAAGGCUCUAUGGGUCGUAAACUUCUUUUAUAUGGGAAUAAAGUUUUCCACGUGUGGAAUUUUGUAUGUACCAUAUGAAUAAGGAUCGGCUAACUCCGUGCCAGCAGCCGCGGUAAUACGGAGGAUCCGAGCGUUAUCCGGAUUUAUUGGGUUUAAAGGGAGCGUAGGUGGAUUGUUAAGUCAGUUGUGAAAGUUUGCGGCUCAACCGUAAAAUUGCAGUUGAAACUGGCAGUCUUGAGUACAGUAGAGGUGGGCGGAAUUCGUGGUGUAGCGGUGAAAUGCUUAGAUAUCACGAAGAACUCCGAUUGCGAAGGCAGCUCACUAGACUGUCACUGACACUGAUGCUCGAAAGUGUGGGUAUCAAACAGGAUUAGAUACCCUGGUAGUCCACACAGUAAACGAUGAAUACUCGCUGUUUGCGAUAUACAGUAAGCGGCCAAGCGAAAGCAUUAAGUAUUCCACCUGGGGAGUACGCCGGCAACGGUGAAACUCAAAGGAAUUGACGGGGGCCCGCACAAGCGGAGGAACAUGUGGUUUAAUUCGAUGAUACGCGAGGAACCUUACCCGGGCUUAAAUUGCAACAGAAUAUAUUGGAAACAGUAUAGCCGUAAGGCUGUUGUGAAGGUGCUGCAUGGUUGUCGUCAGCUCGUGCCGUGAGGUGUCGGCUUAAGUGCCAUAACGAGCGCAACCCUUAUCUUUAGUUACUAACAGGUUAUGCUGAGGACUCUAGAGAGACUGCCGUCGUAAGAUGUGAGGAAGGUGGGGAUGACGUCAAAUCAGCACGGCCCUUACGUCCGGGGCUACACACGUGUUACAAUGGGGGGUACAGAAGGCGGCUACCUGGUGACAGGAUGCUAAUCCCAAAAACCUCUCUCAGUUCGGAUCGAAGUCUGCAACCCGACUUUCGUGAAGCUGGAUUUCGCUAGUAAUCGCGCUUCGAGCCGAUGGCGCGGUGAAUACGUUUCCCGAACCCU